CUUGUAUAGAAUAGCUACUUUCAUUUUUACUGGCACAAUCAAUGGUUUCUAUUUUUGUGUAGACUGAAGUUUUUCUACCUAAUAUUGUCCCAACCAGAAAUAUCUGUAAGUCAGUAUUUUUAUAUUGGUCACAACAAAUAUUCAUUAAAUGAUCCUAUCUGUUCUCAUUUAGCAAUUUUUAAAAACUUUGAAAAAGUUAAGACAAAAAGACAAAACUUAAUGUUAUCACUGAUGAUUUGUUUUUAACAUAGUUGAAUCAAAAAGGAAAUAGGAGUCAAUUAUGAAUGUAUCACAAUGAAUUCCAAUUUUAUAUAUAACUACAAUGCAUUAACUAAUAAAUAAAUAAAUAAAUAAAAAGAUGGUCAAUGGAGUAGAGAAAGGGGAGGGAGGAGGAGAGGGAAGGAGAUAUCGCUGGGAAUUUAUGUUAUGUGCAUUUAUGAAUAUGUCAAAAUGAACCCCACUAUUAUAUAUAACUAUAUUACAAUAAAAAUAUGAAAAAACAAUAUGUGCAUGCACAACUAUGCCAUAGUGAAAUCUACUAUCACAUAUAAUUACAAUUAUAAUGCACCAAUAAAAUUUUUUAAAAGGAGUCAGCUUUCUAAACAAUACACAACUGAAAAAGCAGAGUUUUAUUUAGUCUGUGAAAAAAAUGAUAAAUAUUUCUAAAAUGAAUUUUGUUUAGAUAUGUCAGAAGUUAAAGAUUAUUUAUAAAAGUCAGUGGGCAAUUUCUCUCAGGUCCUCACUUCUGAGAUAACAAAGAAAAGAAGGAGCAAUAAGCAAUCCUGUCAAAAAUGGCCAUAUGCCACCCAUUCACUAUAAGAAUCAUGCCCCAUGAGUGCCCAAGGACAAGGCCAUUAAGUUCAUCAUUCAAAAUACACAGGCAGCCAUAGGGGCAUCAAGGGCAUUUCUCAACUGAGUGAUUUUGAUGCCAAUGUGCCUCCAAGCUGUUUUCGAAACUACAUUAUUGCAGGGGUUGUGCCAUCACAGCAAAGUCGACAGGGAUCAUUCACAUGAAAGUUGAAAGGACUAAGAAGACCCACCUUGAGUUGAACCCCACAACUGCUGCCAAAGCCAGGUGUGAAGCUGGACUCUUAAAGAUUAAAA
rnacentral:lncRNA from 1 species